rnacentral:rRNA from 1 species
GAAUUGUGGACAAUGGGGGCAACCCUGAUCCAGCCAUCCCGCGUGUGCGAUGAAGGCCUUCGGGUUGUAAAGCACUUUUGGCAGGGAAGAAAAGGCUCUGGCUAAUACCUGUAGCUGCUGACGGUACCUGCAGAAUAAGCACCGGCUAACGACGUGCCAGCAGCCGCGGUAAUACGGAGGGUGCAAGCGUUAGUCGGAAUUACUGGGCUUAAAGCGUGCGCAGGCGGUUCGGCAAGAAGGAUGUGAAAUCCCAGGGCUUAACCUCGGAACUGCAUUCUUAACUGCCGGGCUAGAGUAUGUCAGAGGGGGGUAGAAUUCCGCGUGUAGCAGUGAAAUGCGUAGAGAUGCGGAGGAAUACCGAUGGCGAAGGCAGCCCCCUGGGAUAAUACUGACGCUCAUGCACGAAAGCGUGGGGAUCAAAC